rnacentral:rRNA from 1 species
UAUUGAAUAAACCUGAUGGGUUGUUGCUGGUUCUCUAGGGAGCAUGUGCACGCCUUGUCAUCUUUAUAUCUCCACCUGUGCACCUUUUGUAGACCUUUCAGGUCUAUGUUGCUUUUUCAUUUACCCCAAUGUAUGUUAAUAGAAUGUUGUGACUAUAAAAUCUAUACAACUUUCAGCAACGGAUCUCUUGGCUCUCGCAUCGAUGAAGAACGCAGCGAAAUGCGAUAAGUAAUGUGAAUUGCAGAAUUCAGUGAAUCAUCGAAUCUUUGAACGCACCUUGCGCUCCUUGGUAUUCCGAGGAGCAUGCCUGUUUGAGUGUCAUUAAUAUAUAUCAAACUUCUCAUUGCUGAGUGGUUUGGAUGUGGGGGUUUGCUGGCUUCUUAAAUGAGUUCAGCUCCCCUGAAAUGCAUUAGCAGAACAACCCGUUCAUUGGCGUGAUAACUAUCUACGCUAUUGAAUGUGAGGGACAGUUCAGCUUUCUAACAGUCCUCGGACAACUUAUCAUUUAUGUGACCUCAAAUCAGGUAGGACUACCCGCUGAACUUAAGCAUAUC